AACAAAACCACAGUGGAUGGCCUUGUAAAUGUGGAAAUGUAGAAAAGCAGACAGUUACAAGAAGAGGAAAAAACACAUUUCUGAAAGGAAGUUGGAAAAAGAUAAUCUCUAAGUUUAAAGGCAAUCUCUAAGUGAAAAGGUUCAAAGACAUCUCCAUCUAACCUGAACAUCCACUUGGUAAGAAAUGGAUUCAUUUAGAGAGACACCCAUUUUAUACACAGAGUGUGGUCCAUUUCAAAAGAUGAGAAUGGCCCUGGGAGAAACACACUCCACAGACAGAUAUGGGUCAUCUCAGAAGAGCUUCACAACCCAGUUAAUCACGAUGGUGUGAUCA